rnacentral:rRNA from 1 species
GAUGAACGCUGGCGGCGUGCUUAACACAUGCAAGUCGAACGAAGCUGCCCAAAGGAAGUUUUCGGAUGGAAUUUAGGUAGACUUAGUGGCGGACGGGUGAGUAACGCGUGGAUAACCUGCCUUAUACAGGGGGAUAACGGAGAGAAAUUUCCGCUAAGACCGCAUAAGACCACAGCACCGCAUGGUGCAGGGGUAAAAUAUUUAUAGGUAUAAGAUGGAUCCGCGUCCGAUUAGCUUGUUGGUGAGGUAGAGGCUCACCAAGGCGACGAUCGGUAGCCGGCCUGAGAGGGUGAACGGCCACAUUGGGACUGAGACACGGCCCAAACUCCUACGGGAGGCAGCAGUGGGGAAUAUUGGACAAUGGGGGGAACCCUGAUCCAGCGACGCCGCGUGAGUGAAGAAGUAUUUCGGUAUGUAAAGCUCUAUCAGCAGGGAAGAAAAUGACGGUACCUGACUAAGAAGCCCCGGCUAACUACGUGCCAGCAGCCGCGGUAAUACGUAGGGGGCAAGCGUUAUCCGGAUUUACUGGGUGUAAAGGGAGCGCAGACGGCGAAGCAAGUCUGAAGUGAAAUGCAUGGGCUCAACCCAUGAAUUGCUUUGGAAACUGUUUGGCUUGAGUGUCGGAGGGGUAAGCGGAAUUCCUAGUGUAGCGGUGAAAUGCGUAGAUAUUAGGAGGAACACCGGAGGCGAAGGCGGCUUACUGGACGACAACUGACGUUGAGGCUCGAAGGCGUGGGGAGCAAACGGG